rnacentral:rRNA from 1 species
GGAUCCAGACUUUGAUUCUGGCUCAGGAUGAACGCUAGCUACAGGCUUAACACAUGCAAGUCGAGGGGAAACGACAUCGAAAGCUUGCUUUUGAUGGGCGUCGACCGGCGCACGGGUGAGUAACGCGUAUCCAACCUGCCCACCACUUGGGGAUAACCUUGCGAAAGUAAGACUAAUACCCAAUGAUAUCUCUAGAAGACAUCUGAAAGAGAUUAAAGAUUUAUCGGUGAUGGAUGGGGAUGCGUCUGAUUAGCUUGUUGGCGGGGUAACGGCCCACCAAGGCUACGAUCAGUAGGGGUUCUGAGAGGAAGGUCCCCCACAUUGGAACUGAGACACGGUCCAAACUCCUACGGGAGGCAGCAGUGAGGAAUAUUGGUCAAUGGACGAGAGUCUGAACCAGCCAAGUAGCGUGCAGGAUGACGGCCCUAUGGGUUGUAAACUGCUUUUAUAAGGGAAUAAAGUGAGUCUCGUGAGGCUUUUUGCAUGUACCUUAUGAAUAAGGACCGGCUAAUUCCGUGCCAGCAGCCGCGGUAAUACGGAAGGUCCGGGCGUUAUCCGGAUUUAUUGGGUUUAAAGGGAGCGUAGGCCGGAGAUUAAGCGUGUUGUGAAAUGUAGACGCUCAACGUCUGCACUGCAGCGCGAACUGGUUUCCUUGAGUACGCACAAAGUGGGCGGAGUUCGUGGUGUAGCGGUGAAAUGCUUAGAUAUCACGAAGAACUCCGAUUGCGAAGGCAGCUCACUGGAGCGCAACUGACGCUGAAGCUCGAAAGUGCGGGUAUCGAACAGGAUUAGAUACCCUGGUAGUCCGCACGGUAAACGAUGGAUGCCCGCUGUUGGUCUGAAUAGGUCAGCGGCCAAGCGAAAGCAUUAAGCAUCCCACCUGGGGAGUACGCCGGCAACGGUGCAACUCAAAUGAAUUGACGG